rnacentral:lncRNA from 1 species
GUUGCUCUCGAGACUGCGUCGGAGCCCGCAGGCAGGGCCGCGGGAAGCCGGCCGGGCCGCCGCCGCCAUGCUCGGCCGUGUGCGCGGUGGGGGGCGCCCGCUGCAGCUGUGCGCCGCGCGCCCCCUCCCCGGCACGCCCACGCCCCCGCCCCCGCUCCCACCCCCUCCCCGCGCGCUCUCCCCUCCCCGCGCCCCGCAGGCCGCGCCACCCCCGCGCCCCACCCGCCCUCCUGCCCGCCUGCAAGCCGGCCCGGGUAGACCGGUGCCCGCCUCGCGCGCCCGCCUAGAGCCCGGAGUAUGCCCCCUAUAGGCCGCGCGCGCGCGCCCGCCCGCCCAGCCCCGGCCCAGCCUGCCGCGACCCCCGCGGGCCGUCCCUUUCGCAGCCGGCUCGAGGACGUCGGGAACACCGGCUCUGCUCCCGGUGCAUUAACUCGUGCCGUGCCUCCCGCAGCCGCCGCCAGCCACGGGCUUGCAGCCGGACGCCCGGACUCGGAGACACGAUCCGCUGAACGCCCGCAAUAAGAAAGAAAACCCACCCCACGCUGCUCUCCACCUCAACGAGGUCCGGAAUGGGAGGCGGGGUGCGGUUCUCGUCCAAGUUCUACCCCAUUUGCUUUGUGGCUGCAUCCGAAACGGACGUGCCCCGGGAAGGCGUCCACGCUCCAAGACAAGGUUGCCUCAGUGCAGUUUCUACAGCCCGAGUUUAAACUAGUCCUUUGCAUUCUACCCAGCCCUCUGCAAUGCGGAUGUAUUUUAAUUCUUAAAUUCUUUAUGGAACAGCUUUCUAAGUUGGGCUUGAUUAUUUAACCUUGCAUUUCUUUCAUAGUUGAAGUUGACGUGUCUAGAUAAGGAUCAGCUCUCUUGAAGAGGCAUUCAGCUUUUCCAUUAAAUAUAUUUUUUUACAAAACCAGUGCCCCGAAGGUCAUCUCUCAUUACACACACCACAAUGAUCAAAAAGGGAAAAUAUUAACACCAAUUUGUCUACCCAACUUAAAUAAACUUUCCUCUUACGUUGCAUUAUUCCUAAGGUAUGUUCAUUUGGCCUUUUUUGAAAAAAAAAAAGAGUUAUUUAAUUUAAAGCAUGCAGCUAAUCACAGAUCACUCGAGUGCAUAUUUGGUUAAUCCCUCGGUCCCCCUUUCCUCCCUCCCCUCAAACUUAAAAAAAAAAAAAAGCCACCACACACAAAACAAAAACACUCCCCAUGCCAAUCAAAACGUAGCUGUACUAUGCACAAAACAAAUUUAACUAUUCCAAGCCAUUUAAAUCUAGGAAUAAUCACCCAAUUUCAGAAGCCCAGUUAACAGGGAGAAAUUAUUUGUAGUUACUUACAUAUGCAUUCACGUACACACUUAAAAACAUUAGCCAUAGUGUGUGUCCUUUUCCCCUACAACUGGAAACCAUGAAUUUUUUAAACAAAACCAGCCUCAUUAUUAAAGUCAAUCCCAACAAAUGCAUUCGCUGUAACAUGAUUCCCAACUGGUUUAUGUUGCAAACCAGAUAAGCCAAAACGACCACAGACAUUAAAUUUGAUGUGCCAGUGCAAAGAGAAGAUCGCCAUAAUCGGACCCUCGAUCGCAACUUAAAGGGCUUCCAACACACAUGCGUUACACGAUUUUUCCAAAUAACAUUAAUAAUAAUAACACAGGCUCAUUUGCAUGCAAAGUGCAAUACGGGGCCAAAUCCGCUUGAGAAUGCAGUUUAGUUACAUUACCGCAGCCACCCCCCACCUCAAGCUCCACCAAAAUCCCUUGCCUUUCAUCUAAAAGUAGAUUAUGGUUGUGUCAUUCGAGGUCAAUUUAUUCACUUGAGGUAUCUCUACACCAGUCUGUUUUUUCAACCAAACUAGGCAGACACCACUUUGCUUGAAAAGCCCUCUUUCAGAAAAAAAAGAAACAGCCUUAUCGGACGCUGUGUUUAAAACCCUUCAGAGGCAGAAUUAUCUAUAAACUUGACAUUCACAGCCAUUGCUUAAAACUGCAAGUCAAAGGAUGUGUUGUUAGGAGCACUUACGUAUUUCUUCUGAAUGAUAUUCCUCUUGGGUCUUUCCUUGCUC